rnacentral:rRNA from 1 species
AUUGAACGCUGGCGGCAGGCUUAACACAUGCAAGUCGAGCGGAGAGAGGUAGCUUGCUACUGAUCUUAGCGGCGGACGGGUGAGUAAUGCUUAGGAAUCUGCCUAUUAGUGGGGGACAACAUUUCGAAAGGAAUGCUAAUACCGCAUACGUCCUACGGGAGAAAGCAGGGGAUCUUCGGACCUUGCGCUAAUAGAUGAGCCUAAGUCGGAUUAGCUAGUUGAUGGGGUAAAGGCCUACCAAGGCGACGAUCUGUAGCGGGUCGGAGAGGAUGAUCCGCCACACUGGGACUGAGAGACGGCCCAGACUCCUACGGGAGGCAGCAGUGGGGAAGAUUGGACAAUGGGCGCAAGCCUGAUCCAGCCAUGCCGCGUGUGUGAAGAAGGCCUUAUGGUUGUAAAGCACUUUAAGCGAGGAGGAGGCUACUUUAGUUAAUACCUAGAGAUAGUGGACGUUACUCGCAGAAUAAGCACCGGCUAACUCUGUGCCAGCCGCCGCCGUAA